AAUGUUUGACACCGUUGAUUUUUAAGCGAAUAUUUGACCAUUCGUCUUAUUCAAAAAAUUUAUCCAAAUGUUAUUUACUUUGUUACGAGUUGUUUUAUUACAAACAAAAUUUUAAGCAUGACUUAUAUUUAUAAAUAUUUGGAUAAAAUUUUUGAAUAAAACGAAUGGUCAAACGUGCGCUAAAAAAUCAACGGUGUCAAACAUA
rnacentral:pre_miRNA from 1 species